UUUAUAUCGGUAAUUGUUAUACCAUGCAAGAGUUCUUUAAAAUAAUAAAGAGACAGUAAAACGGGUGUCUUCAUAUAGAAAAUAUGUUACACUCGUUUGCAAAAAAGAAAAAAGAAAAAAAAAAUAUAUAUAUAUACGUGAUUAAUUUUUGUUCAUUUUGAACAUACGUUUUAACUAGCUAGAUAUUAUUGUUAUCAACUAAUAUAUUGUAAAGAUCACUGUUCAAAGAUUAUAACUUAUGGUUUAUGUUAGUAUCAUCUGCGCAACCAUUUGAGUUCAAAACUUCAAAUUCGUCUAAUACAUUCUUCACAGUAUGAAAUUUGGUUAAAACUCAAUAGUUA
rnacentral:lncRNA from 1 species